UACGAAGGGUGCAAGCGUUAAUCGGAAUUACUGGGCGUAAAGGGUGCGUAGGCGGUUGUUUAAGUCUGUCGUGAAAUCCCCGGGCUCAACCUGGGAAUGGCGAUGGAUACUGGGCAGCUAGAGUGUGUCAGAGGAUGGUGGAAUUCCCGGUGUAGCGGUGAAAUGCGUAGAGAUCGGGAGGAACAUCAGUGGCGAAGGCGGCCAUCUGGGACAACACUGGCGCUGAAGCACGAAAGCGUGGGGAGCAAACAGG
rnacentral:rRNA from 1 species